GGUAAGAUGGCUGAGUUUUAAAGCGGCGGAUUGUAGCUCCGUGAAUAGAGGUUAGAAUCCCCUUCUUAUCA
rnacentral:tRNA from 1 species